UGAAAAUUCAAGGAAACAAGUGAAAAAAGGUGGUGAGCAUUCUGGCAAAAGUAAAGAGAUAGUACCCGAGGAUCAAGAAUCAGAGUACUCGAAACUCGAUUUUCAUUACACUCAGGAUAGUCGGUAGAUAGCUCACUUUGUUGAGGGC